UGCUUUGGGUCUUAGUGUCUGAACUCUGCACACAGAAACUCGCAAGUUUGAGGAAAACUUGUGUGUUUCAGGGUUAUGUCACAGACAGUCCUUCAUACACAGAGUUACCUGGAUUUGAAACGUACCUGACAGCUUUCAGCACGGGUUUUGCAGGUGUCAGUGUAACUCCUCUGCAUGUGGGAGAUGGAAUAGCAGGUUCUGCCUUGUGCAAUAUAAUCAGUUUGAACGAUUCAGGGUCGAGCUUUGAUCUUUUUUGCAGGCACGUGUUGCCUCUUGUGGGGAUCACUAGCAGAUGAGACAGAUGUGCACUCACCGGUAGUCAUAAUUCCUCGUUGUCCUGCCUUUUAUGGGAUGGCAGAGGGAGUCUGUGGAGCUUUUUUUUUUUUCCCAUAUGCUUCCACUUCCUUGUACAAAGUAUUGCCAGAGGGCUUGAGACAGGUGCUGGAUUCUUGCUGUCAUUUGGAUCAGGCAGAUGGAUUCAGCAGUUGAAGCCUCCUCUUGGCCACAUCUAUUGUUGGAGAUGAUCAGGGCUGAGCCUGCAGCAGUCUAGCCCAUCUGCCUGCUAUUUCUCACUAAAGUUGUGCAGCGUUUCUCAGGUAUGUUUCU